GACGAACGCUGGCGGCGUGCCUAAUACAUGCAAGUCGAGCGCCUGGAUGUUCCUUCGGGAACCGAAGGGAGCGGCGGACGGGUGAGUAACACGUAGGCAACCUGCCUGUAAGACCGGAAUACCUCACGGAAACGUGGGACAAGUCCGGAUAGACAAUCGACUCGCCUGGGCCGAUUGGGAAAAACGGGGCAACCUGUUGCUUACAGAUGGGCCUGCGGCGCAUUAGCUAGUUGGAGAGGUAACGGCUCCCCAAGGCGACGAUGCGUAGCCGACCUGAGAGGGUGAACGGCCACACUGGGACUGAGACACGGCCCAGACUCCUACGGGAGGCAGCAGUAGGGAAUCUUCCGCAAUGGACGCAAGUCUGACGGAGCAACGCCGCGUGAGUGAGGAAGGCCUUCGGGUCGUAAAACUCUGUUGCCAGGGAAGAAUACGGGGGAGAGUUACUGCUCCGCCGACGACGGUACCUGAGAAGAAAGCCCCGGCUAACUACGUGCCAGCAGCCGCGGUAAGAC
rnacentral:rRNA from 1 species